UUAACGUGGAGGACAUCCCAAGGCAUGCCUCCAAGGGACCUUAAUUCCUCAUCAGAAAGACUCCUUGGGGACCAUCCGAGGAGUUAUCUGCCCCUCUCCCUCUUGGAAAGCGGAGAAGGAAUUCAGCUAUGAUAACUGUUUCUCGUUGUUUCUGAGAAUCUUUGUGUUGGCUCUUCAUUCUGAAAUUAGAUUAAGCCAGCUUGCAGAGAAGCAGUCAGGGUCUGAGGUCUGAAUGCACUUGACUGACGCCUCCGCGGAGAGCAGAGGUCAACCCCAGUGGCCAGCGUGGCCCUUGGUGUCUCGCUGACUGCUCUGUGGCGCUGGAAGAUAGAAGGGUAAGAUGGCCAAGCAUCCAGGGCGGGACCGUCAUUAUGUCAUUAUGUGCUCUCUGUACGGCUGCUACGCUUAUGGGCUCACCAGUUACUUAGUGAAAAGUGACAUUUGAUGCAAAAUAGAAGAACCUACCAUGUGGAAGGCAUUGGGGAGGAAAGACAAGGUGCAGUGACCCUCUGUGUCCCCACUCAGGUUACUAAAGGCAGCAGCCUGGAAGCUCAGUCCCACCGCAUCUCCGAGGUUUCAUCGGGUCGGUUUCCGUCCCUCGAUGGCAUCGUUUCCUGAUGAAGGACAAGGUUCAGCCAAUUGUGGGCAGUGCUGUCCGAAACCUCAGAGCCACUGCAUUUUGGACAUCAUAAGAAAGUUCACUGUGUGCUUCUUUUCCACCAGUUACUGAUAGGUUGAGCAAUGCUAAGACUUCUAGGGGUACUUUACACACUGACCUGUGUCCAAAAGUCCCAUGAUUAACUGCCUACAAGAGCUCCACGAGUUCCAAUCAGGCAUCACUCAUGUCCAAAGCAGACAUCUCUAUGCCCUGUCUGAAACUGCUGUCUUCAAGAGUUCCUAAGGAGAAAGCCCAGAAGCAUCCACGAUUCUCUUCAAUGCCUUCCACGCUAGAGCUGACCCACAACCUGACAGUUUGGACCGGGCUUUCAGGAUCUGCCCAUCUUCCAGUACUCUACUGUCACAACCUAACCUGGGCAGCUUUGUCUGCAUCCUCAGAGAUCCUGAUGUGUUCCCUCUGUCCACCUCACUCUCUACGCAUGAAUUAUGGGCUGGAGAUGCUUGCUGAAAAUACUCUGACUGGGCCUGCUUGGAUCUACUGUUUACUCUGGACCAGUCACAUGCCUACAGAAACGCAGUGGAUCUACUGUUUACUCUGGACCAGUCACAUGCCUACAGAAACGCAGUGGAUCUACUGUUUACUCUGGACCAGUCACAUGCCUACAGAAACGCAGUGGAUCUACUAUUUACUCUGGACCAGUCACAUGCCUACAGAAAUGCAAUGUACAGGCUUCUGUCACUGGAAACAAAGUAGAAACACACAGAUUCCCCAAGUAGACAUCAAAGACAGUGGGAAAGGGGGUGGUGCUUGCUGAGGAAGUAUUCACCAAUGCCCUUUGUCUUCUCUGGACUGCUAUACCAGAAUACCACAGACUGGGUACCACAACAACAGAUAUUACGUCUCACAGGUCUAGGGGCUAGAAGUUCGUGGUCAAGGUGCUGGCAGAUCCCAUAUCUGUCGAGAGCUUUCUUCCCAAUGUUCACAUUUUCAUCUUCUCAUUGUGUUCUCACAUGGUUCAGAGCAGAGACAGGAAUUAAGCUUUCAGGUUUCCCAUAAGGGCACUAAUUUCAUCCAUGAAGGUUCUAUUCUUCCUAAAUACCCCACCUCCUAAAACCAUAAUGUUGGCUGUUAAGAUUUCAACAUAGUAUCUGGGAGGGAUACACACAUUCAAUCCAUAACAUCCACUGUACCCCUAUUUCCUACAGAGUCCUGAGCACUAUAAUUCAAGCCUAUUUUAUGAAGCUAUAGGCACAUUCUUAAUAAGCGUGAAGCCUGGCCUCCCAGCUUACUGAAAGAGGGUGGGCAUACUCAGAGUAGACAGUAUGAAAAAAAAAAAAGGCAAUAGCACAAAGUAGACUCAAAA